GCGCCCUUAGCUCAGCUGGAUAGAGCGUUGCCCUCCGGAGGCAAAGGCCAGAGGUUCGAAUCCUCUAGGGCGCGCCA
rnacentral:tRNA from 1 species